AUCAACUGGAGCCCUUCCCCUUGUUUCUAAUUUACUAUUACUUCAUCUAUUAGAAAGGGUACCUUUUAGUGAUUUUGUGGUUCUAUGUAAGUUUUAUGUUAAGUAGCUUACUUCUGAAAGAAGAAUAUAUAUUUAUAAGAACUACUCUCCUAGUCACUGAACAAAAGUUAAUUUUUUAUAUGAUUGUUUCAUUUCUAACUUUAGAUAGACUGUAAUACUGGGAAUUUAGUUUAUUAGUUGUGAACAAAAACUAGAGAUUAUUUUGAGUGUCUCUGUAUGGAUGGGUGGUAGGAAUCAAGAAAAGUUUCAAAAAUUAUUCUAGUUUUAGGUGGUGUUUAAGUCACUUGCAAACCAGCUUGUGUCCUCAGCAGUAUAAUAAAAUUACCCUUUCUGAGAUUACUGGUAAAAAUUAUAAGUUAAAAGCCAAAGAUCAUUUUUUGGUCUUCAAGCCCUUUUUCAACUUCUUUGACUUUACCGUCACAUGUGCAGCCCCUCUGGUGUCUGUUUCCUACAUUAACCAUGAUAUGUGUGGUCACAAGUGACUAAAGACCCAAUUCAAACUUGCUUUAGCAAAAAGAGAAUAUUUUGGCUCAUGGAACUGGGAAGGAUAGGGAUAUGCCCACUCUUGGGUCAAACUGAAUUCCUAAACUGACAGAGUUCUUGUCGUUUCCCCAUCCCUCCUGUCAGCCUCCUUUUAUUUAUUCCAGGCUCUUUCUUUCCUAAUACAAAGGGAUGCUCUCCAUUGGGCAGAGAGUAAGGCUGUUCGCAGCUUGAGUCAUUGAAGUUUGUGAAUCUUGGGGAAAGAUCAUUUCUCUUUUCCAGUAACUUGCUAUGAAUUUCUGGGAAGGACUCUCCUCAGGACCAGCUCUGGCUACCGUGAUGGCCGGGGCCAAGGCUCAUGUCCGCCCCUGUGAUCAUAAGGCAGUUCACACUGACCAAAAGCCCCAACAGAACGCUGUGGAGUUGGGGCAGGAGAGGACGGUCCCUAAAGGAUUCACCAGGGAGAAGAUGGGGAGGGGUCGAGGAGACAUUUCAUUGCCCCCACAUCCCCUUUAGCAUCUCUGAUUUCUUUUUUCCUAAGUACUGCAUUUGUUCUCAUCUUCUUUCCCCUGCCUCUCACUUAGUCAUUCUCUAGCAUUCUGUUCUUGUAAAGUCUACAUUAUUUUCCACAAAUAGUUCAUCUUAACAAGUUUCGCCUAGUGUAUCUUUGCAGAAGCAUUGUAAGUUUCUAUCUUUACACAUCAGUACCAUCACUUUCUACUUAUUGAGUGCGAGCAUAGAUGUGAGCUGUGCAUUUACCUAUCCUCAGGAAGCUAUAUACUCUAAAAGAAAUACAGACAUACAGUAUGUAUGGUAAGGUUAAUUUUUCUCUGAUUUCUUAAAUCCUAAUAAAAUUGUUAUGAACCACAUUUUACCUUUUUCCAGCCCCCCUGAGACUUAAGUAUGGAAUGGACAUUCUUACUAACAGUUAGCUAAGAACUGUAAUUAAUAGAACUGUUUUUCACAUAUGAGAAACACCAAAUGCAUAUACCUACCCAGAAACAUCUAGGGCAGCUCACCUUUGAAAGAGAAACCUUUGCAGUGUAUUCUACAUUAUGAUCCUGUUCCAUCUCUUCAUUCCAGCAUUCUACUGAAUCCAGCAACUUGAGUCCUCACUACUUUUUGAAAGGGCACAGUAGACAGAAAAACAAAUUAGGAAGAUGAUAAGUUUGAUGUUGAACAUUAUUUUCAAUUUUGAGUUUGAAAAACAUCCAUCCAGAAAUUGAAAAUUGGAGUCUAGGGUCCAGGAUAGAUUUCUGCUAGAGUUUGAAAUAUGGAACCAUCUAAUUAGUCAAAUUCUCCCAAAGUUUAGCUGUGUGAAUAAGCAAAUAACUUAAUUUCUCAGCAUCCUGGUGCCCCUAUCUUCCAAGUGGGCGGAGAAUAUAUAACUAUAAGGAUUUUUGUGAGGAUUAUUAAUUUCUGUAGGAAAACUUUGUUGCCCAAUGCAUAUUAACUAGAUAACCAGUGUUCUCAGUAUCUUCAUUGCCUUUACAGUUUGCUGGGUCUGUGUCAGCCUGAUGGGAGUAAAUGAAGUUGUCACAGAGUCUGAUAGGAAGGGCUGCCGCGUGAGGCUCCCUUGAUGACCGCAUUCACUGGCUGUUGAUCACUCUGUACCUCUCUUCUCAUCUCCCUGGACUUUAUUCUUUGUGAUCCAUUCCAUCACUUUUAUAUCUUCAAUCCCUCCACUGAAUGAAGCUGAUUGUGCCGUGAUAAAUCACUUCCUGUAGGGUUGAUGACUGAGCCAAGAGGGAAUGACAAUAAGGCUCGGUGGAUUGCUUCUCUUUUGUGGGAACUCCUAAGAGACUCCUAAUCCCACAGAUGACAACUAUCAGUUUUGGAGAAAAUACAUAAAACAAUUACCUGAAGGCUAUGGAUAAAGACAACGAAAAAAGGGUGAGGAAUUUUGGAAGGGAGUCAAUACUUGAAUGAAGGAAAUGACGUGGUUUGAGUUACCAGUUUUUGCAAGUUUUGGACUAAAGACAAAACACUGAGGUCCAGUAGAAAACUUGUGGUCUUUCUGGUUUAACAAAUCAGAAGACAACUCAAGGCAUUACUGCUGUAGGAAGAUGACAAGUAACCCUGAAAAUUAAAGAACCAGAGAAGGAGGAGCCCAAGCUCUGUGGAUAAAUUCUAUACAAGUCUCUAAAUCAUGCAUAAGGACCAAAAAAAAAAAAAUUAACUGUGAUUUGAGAUGCAGUGGGUGAGGCAGACUUUUCAGUUUGAAAAUCAAAUCGAGUUAAUUACCUGUCAAGUCAGAAAUACCAACACUCUUCAAAGGAAUAAAAAAGAAACCAGAGUCUCCACAACAUAACACUCAACACUAUCCAGGACACAAUCCAAAAUUACUGUUACACAAAGAACCAGGAAAACGUGACGCAUUCUCAAAGAAACAGGUAAUCAUCAGAGGCUAUAAUCAUUUCAUUGCUAACAAAUUAUCACAAAUUUAGCCGCAUAAACUACAUAGAUUUAUUAUUUU